rnacentral:tRNA from 1 species
GCCCGAGUAGCUCAGCCUGGAUUUAGAGCAGCACACUCCUAAUGUGCAGGUCGCAGGUUCAAAUCCUGUCUCGGGCG